rnacentral:lncRNA from 1 species
AAGGGAACCUGGUGACAGAGUCAGAAUAUAAUAGCUUUGUGUGGUAGAAAAACAAAGAUGUUUUUAAUUUAUGGUUUUUUUAUUACUAUUUCUAGAGGUUGCCUUAAGCUUAUAUUUCUAUCUCCUAGGCGACAUUAUUGUUUUACUCUUUUAUUUCAAAUAUACAGAGAGAGAGAGAGAGAGAGAGAGACUAUAUAUUUUAAAUGUAGAAAUAUUACCUAUAAGAUGAAUUUUUUUAUGUGCAUGGGAAAGAACAUGCAUUGAGGAUGGGUCACAUAGACAAAUGUCCAAUGAAAGGUGAGUAUGUUAAUAAACAGGGAGGGGAUUUCUCAAACUUAGUAAAACCAGAGCUAAUUUGUUUCAUAGGUGAGCUUGACACAUGGCAACAGGCACACAAACAGGACACACAGGCACACAGACAUGUACACACACAAGCAUACAUUGUUUUAACUCAAAUUAAGAAAGUAGAAUGACAAAAGUGUCUUAAGCUUUUUCACAAAUAAAUACAGUUAAAUAAAAGAUGUUCAUUUGAGUCACUGUGGCUCUGAGUACCACUUCCUCUCUGAGGUGUCCUGGGGCCAUUGCACACCAGGCUGGAAGCAUGAAGCUGAGCCCUGAAGAGAUGUGCUCUGCAGGAUCUGGGUCCAGGCCUGCAGCUGAUGGGGAGAAGGCCUUCCCUGAGGAUUUCAGUUUCACAGCACUUUCUAUUUGACAACAUUCUGGCAAACAGCUGGUGCACAUUCACUUUCAUUGGGGUGAAUAAGAGCUACAUAUGAACCUUGGGGAGUAGGAAGGAGUCUUUGGGUGAAUGUAAAUCACUGGCUAGAGAUUAAAGUACUGAGAAUACCUCAUUUGCAUUGAGAGGCUUGCCAGAAAUCGCAGGUACAGACUGAGCAGGAAAGAGGAACUUGAACCUGUAAUUUUGCCAAGGACUACAUGACCUUCCUCAAGUAGAAGAUGUGGAGGUCAGGCUGCCCAGAUAAGGUCAGGCUGAGAAGAGGAAGCUCUGCUCAAAAAGCGAGUCCUCCAUUUUGUGCUGAUCUCAGAGGACCUAUUUCUGACAUGGUAGACUAAAACCUUAAUUAGCGGGGUUUCCCAACAAGUAAUUGUUAUUUGCUCUUUUUUUUUAUUAAUCAUUUUAUUUCUUUACACUUAAAAUGAUAUCUCCCUUCCAGUUAAUCCCUUACAACCCCCCAUCCCAUCCUCUCUCUGCCCCCUUCUUUUGCCUCUAUGAGGAUGCUCCUCUACUCACUCACCCACUCCUGUCUCUCCACUCUACCAUUCCCCUAUGCUGGGACAUCAAGCCUCCACAGGACCAAGGGCCUGCCAUCCCCAUGAUGCCAAAUAAGGCCAUCCUAUGCUACAUAUGUAUCUGGAGCUAUGGGUCACUCUGUGUAUAUUCUUUGGUUGGUGGUUUAGUCCCUGGGAGCUCUGGAUGGUUCAGUUAGUUGAUAUCAUUCUUUCUAUGGAUUUCAAUCCCCUUCAAUUCCUUCAGUUCUUCCCCCAUUUCUUCCAUUGGGGUUCCAAUUGGGUAACAUAAAUAAAUUUUUUAAUUUCUUGGAAGAAAGAAUCCCUGAGAUGACCUCUUUCUGGAAGGAAGAAGAAGAAGAAGAAGAAGGAGAAGAAGAAGAAGGAGAAGAAGAAGAAGAAGAAGAAGAAGAAGAAGAAGAAGAAGAAGAAGAAGAAGAAGAAGAAGAAGAAGAAGAAGAAGAAGAAGAAGAAGAAGGAGAAGAAGAAGAAGAAGAAGAAAGAAGCAGCAGCUGCUGUUAGAAAAGCAGCCUUCCCCCUUUCCUAGGAGUGGAUUCUGAGAUUCUGAGAAGGCAUGAAAGUGAUAAAGCAGAGAAGAGGUGUGGAAUGAGCUGGUGUUUAAGGGGGAAGGAAAAUGUAUCCCAGAGCUCAAGUUUAGGAACUGAUAUUUCCAUAAACUAUGCACUUGUUUUAUUAAAAGAAAAAUAUAAGCUCUUAAGCACAUCUAGAAAUAUAUGGCUUGAUAUUACAAAAAUGUUUUCAUUAUAAUAUCUAGGACUCUAACAUAGCAUUUAACUUUGAGGAUUAAUGAUUUAAAUUUACAUUAUUUAAGACUUAUAAAACAUUUAUUGUAUGUUAAAUAUUAUCUCCAUCAAGAGGAUUUAUCCAUUACUGGAAAUGGAAACAGAUUUCUGUGAAGAGAAAGAUGAAGCAGACCGCUUGCUGGGCUCUGAAGCUCAGUCUCCCAAGUGAAGUGUGAGCUGAAGUUGUCUUUGACAGUCAUGGUGGACGUAAAAAUAGCUUCCUACAGAG